rnacentral:rRNA from 1 species
GAUCAAGCGAAAAAGAGCGUAUGGUGGAUGCCUUGGCACUAGACGCCGAUGAAGGACGCGAUAAGCUGCGAAAAGCUACGGUUAGCCGCAAGUAGGCAAUGACCCGUAGAUAUCCGAAUGUGGGAACACACUAGAAUUAAUCUUCUAGUAUUAAUACAUAAAUACAUAGUGUAUUAAAGGGAACCUUGGGAACUGAAACAUCUUAGUACCAAGAGGAAAAGAAAGUAAACAAACGAUUACCUAAGUAGUGGUGAGCGAACGGGUAAGAGCCCAAACCUAUGGUAGCAAUACGAUAGGGGUUAGGUACUGCGACAAAAUGAAAUAAGUUAUUGUAAUUGAAGAUAGUUGGAAAGCUACACGAAACAAAGUAAAAGUCUUGUAAAUGAAACAAUAAUGAAUCAUGAGCAGAUAACCAGAGUAAUACCGAGCACGAGGAAUUUGGUAUGAAUGAGCGAGGACCAUCUCGUAAGGCUAAAUACGAUCUAGUGACCGAUAGCGAACAAGUACCGUGAGGGAAAGGUGAAAAGAACCCCGGGAGGGGAGUGAAAGAGAACCUGAAACCAUAUGUUUACAAACGGAGGAAGCGAGUUAAAUUGCGACCUCGUACUUUUUGUAGAACGGGCCGGCGAGUUACGGUAUGUAGCAAGGUUAAGUAAUUAAGUUACGGAGCCGAAGCGAAAGCGAGUCUGAAUAGGGCGAGUAAAGUUGCAUAUCGUAGACCCGAAACCCAGUGACCUAUCCAUGAGCAGGUUGAAACAAGGGUAAAACCUUGCGGAGGACCGAACCCACGUCUGUUGAAACAUCCGGGGAUGAUUUGUGGAUAGCGGAGAAAUUCUAAUCGAACUGGGAUAUAGCUGGUUCUCCUCGAAAUAGCUUUAGGGCUAGCCUCUAGCGAAGAUAUAUGAGGGUAGAGCACUGAAUGGAUGCGGGGGUUUCACAACCUACUAAAUCUUAUCAAACUCCGAAUAUCAUAUAUUAAUACUAGGGAGUCAGGCGGUGUGAGAUAAGUUUCAUCGCCAAAAGGGAAACAGCCCAGAUCUACAACUAAGGUCCCCAAGUUUAUGUUAAGUGGAAAAGGAUGUUUAAUUGCUAAAACAACCAGGAUGUUGGCUUAGAAGCAGCCAUACAUUAAAAGAGUGCGUAAUAGCUCACUGGUCGAGUGACUAAGCGCCGAAGAUGUAACGGGGCUAAAACAUAACACCGAAGUUUAGGGAUAGGAGAGAUCCUAUCGGUAGAGGAGCAAUGUGUACUGGGCAGAAGCCAAACCGGAAGGGUUGGUGGACUGUACACAAGAGAGAAUGCCGGCAUGAGUAGCGAGAGCGAAGCGAGAACCUUCGCCGUCGAAAGUCUAAGGUUUCCUGGGGAAGGGCAGUCCUCCCAGGGUAAGUCAGGACCUAAGCUGAGGGCGAAAGCCGUAGGUGAUGGACAACAGGUAGAUAUUCCUGUACCACCGUGUAUCGAUAAAGAGUUGACGCAGGGACGCAGAAGGAUAGUAGAACCAUGGGGAUGGAAAACCAUGGCCAAAUCAUGAGGCAAACAAGUAGUGAAGUACGCUUGUUAUCAAAAUGCUAGGUGAUGAUGGGGAGUGAAAAUUAGUAAUGAAGUCUAUGAAUUCACGCUGACGAGAAAAUCUGCUAAAUAGAUACAAGGUGCCUGUACCGCAAACCGACACAGGUAGACGAUAUGAGAAAUAUAAGACGAACGGGAGAACCAUUGUUAAGGAACUCUGCAAAAUUACCUCGUAACUUCGGGAGAAGAGGUGCCUAUGGAGACAUAGGCCGCAGUGAAGAGGCCCAAGCGACUGUUUACCAAAAACACAGGUUUCUGCAAAAUCGCAAGAUGAAGUAUAGGAGCUGACGCCUGCCCGGUGCUGGAAGGUCAAGGGGAUGAGUUAGAAGAGUCAAGAAUAUUGCCUUCGAAGCCCAGAACUUAAGCCCCAGUGAACGGCGGCCGUAACUAUAACGGUCCUAAGGUAGCGAAAUUCCUUGUCAGGUAAGUUCUGACCCGCAUGAAUGGCGUAACGAUUUGGGCGCUGUCUCAACAAUGGACCCGGCGAAAUUGAAGUAUGCGUGAAGAUACGUAUUACCCGUGGCAGGACGGAAAGACCCCGUAGAGCUUUACUGUAGUUUAAUAUUGGAUUUCGAUUUUGUAUGUACAGGAUAGGUGGGAGACUAAGAAGCCAGUUCGUUAGGAUUGGUGGAGUCAACGUUGGGAUACCACUCUUGCAAGGUUGAAGUUCUAACGGUUAGCCAUAAUCUGGUAACCGGACAGUGUUAGAUGGGCAGUUUGACUGGGGCGGUCGCCUCCAAAAGAGUAACGGAGGCGUUCAAAGGUUCCCUCAUAAUGGUUGGAAACCAUUAACAGAGUGCAAAGGCAUAAGGGAGCUUAACUGCAACACAUACACGUGGAGCAGAUACGAAAGUAGGACUUAGUGAUCUGAUGGUAGAAAAUGGAAUUGCCAUCACUUAACGGAUAAAAGUUACCUCGGGGAUAACAGGCUGAUACUUCCCAAGCGUCCACAGCGACGGGAGUGUUUGGCACCUCGAUGUCGGCUCGUCACAUCCUGGGGCUGAAGUAGGUCCCAAGGGUUCGGCUGUUCGCCGAUUAAAGUGGUACGCGAGCUGGGUUCAGAACGUCGUGAGACAGUUCGGUCCCUAUCCGCCAUGGGCGUUGGAUAUUUGAGAGGAUUUGCUCCUAGUACGAAAGGACCGGAGUGAACAUACCAAUUGUGCACCUGUUGUUUCGCCAGAAGCACGGCAGGGUAGCGAAGUAUGGACAGGAUAAACGCUGAAAGCAUCUAAGCGUGAAACCCACCUCAAGAUGAGAUAUCCCAUAACUUUAAGUUAGUAAGACCCCUUAGAGACGAUAAGGUUGAUAGGCCAGAGAUGGAAGAGUAGUAAUAUUUGUAGUUGACUGGUACUAAUAGGUCGAGGGCUUGAUCUC